UAAUUUGGAGAUUACAAAAACGUGGCUUAUAUAUUUUUAUCCUGGAAGCAUAGCAACUGGUAGGACAAAGGUAAGGUAAAGAACCCCUGGACGAACCCCAGUCGAAUUCGACUAUGGGAUACGGUGUUCACCUCCACUCUCUUGUCAUGACUGAGCUUCAAUUUGUUCACCCACACUGAGGUCAUCUGGGCACUAAUUCAGUACUUCUGUUGCCUCUUAUAUAAAGGAGAAAGAGAGUUGAAUGCUACCUCUCAAAGAUUUUAUGUAGAAGAGGACAAGAUAAUCUUGUGGGAUGCCAUAGCAUAAAUGCCACAACAUUAAACAGUAUUUCCCCAGCACCAUCUUCUUGAAUUGGCUCUGCAGGUAUUAUUAUUAUUAUUAUUAUUAUUAUUAUUAUUAUUAUUAUUAUUUUAUUAUAUUACUACUAUUACCCUUGCGGGAGGCAGUGAAAGACAGGAGUGCCUGGCGUGCUCUGGUCCAUGGGAUCACGAAGAGUCGGACACAACUAAACGACUAAACAACAAACUAUUACCCAUCCUUCACUCCAGGGUCCCAUGGUGGGUAUCACCAAGAUUAAAAAUAGUUGAAAGCAACUUAAAAUUAGAGAAAUAAGGUUGGCCCUACAAAUAUACAUCUCAAGCUAGGGUUGCAUCUUCAGCAUUUGCGAAAAGCUGCAUAAUGAUGGUGCCAGAUGCAAUUCUAUGAGAAGUGAGUUCCACAACUUAGGGGCUGCUGAAAACAAUGUUCCCUCUUUGGCUCCCCACCCCACCCCACCCCAGAGGUUUCUAAGAGUGGUGGAACAACCUGAGUUCUUGGCACCUGAGAAAUGGAAAGAGAACCACCAGCAAAACACCAUGCCAGCAACUCCCUGUAAAGAAAGCCUGCCCAGAAGGAUUCCAUGGUUGAUAGUAUUGAAAGAAACAUAGAACUGGGAAAUUAGUAGAGAUGUACUCCCGAUGUGCUUCUCCAUCAAGGCAGUUUCCGUGUGAAAAAUGGGUCAGAAACCAAAACAAAUUGGUUCCAAAUAAUUGAAGCUGUAUUUACAGUGCUCUAGAUUUAUGUUUUCAGUUAGCCACAAGCGCUUAUCAUAUAUACUUUUAGUUCUAGACUGAUGUAAUCUUGGAUUCACACCACCCCAAAUGGCAUUGAUCCUAUUUAGAGGUUUAAGAAUAUUCAUAAUGUCCAGGUUCAAGCACAAAAUAUGUAAGUAACCAAGCAGCUUGGAUUUCUCCAGUCGUGUAAACUGAUUCAGAAUCAAGAAAUCAGCACUCCCAUUCUGAUUGAUCUAGACAUAUACUGCUUUUUCUGAGAAAUGCUGGUAGCAGUACUGGGCAAAUAGAGUUUAUUUCUGCCUUUUUGCCAAAAAGACCCCCAAGGCAGCAGAUGGUUUAUGCACAAAAACAAAUUUCAAAUAAAAAAAUCCAGCUUAGAAAAGUUUACGACAACAAAUACAUUUUUUUACAAAGACUACAAUCAAAAUACAUUCAUAUUCCUGCUAAAGGCAAAGUUUAGUUCCCACAAAAAUGUCAGGGAGAGCAGGAGAAAACCCUUAGGGAGCUGCUCUUUCUUAUUAAGGCCCCAGUCAAGGGGUGGGGCAGACAGAUGGAAAAUUUUGCCCCUUGGUGGUCCAGAAAGUUGGUGGUCCAGAAAGUUGUGACUUGUGACCUUGAAUACAACUUAACUACAUGUGUCUGCUACUCGUCCCAACACAAAUGAAGAAAGACUUCUAGGACUUAACUAUAAGUCUCUUUCCAUUCAUGUUGGACUGUGAGUAACAAAAGCACACAAAGUGGUAUUCAACUAAGUUUUAAUCAGAGUAAACCCACUGAAAUUAAUGGACCUACUUAGCUAUUUUUCAUUCACUUCAGUUUGUCUGAUCUGAGCAAAACUUAAGUUGAAUAUUAUCCACAGGGUAAAUCCAGACAUGCCCUCCUUGUGCAAAUGAGUGGACUCCUCGAAUCCAACAUGUUCCCAGUGGCAGAAGGGGAAGGGAUUAUUUCCUCUAAAUUUGUCUUGCAGGCCCAAAUGCCCCUCCCACUUACAGAAGGUUCUCUUACAUUCCAGAAUAGACUUUCAGAAGCAAUGGGUUGCAUGGAGAAGGGGUAAUUCAUGAAAAUAUGUUUUUCAAAAUCAUCUUCCUUCUGCCAGUGGGAGUGUCAUGUAGCAGAACUCCACUGCUCUAAAGUCUGGCUCCAAGUAUUUGUAUAAAAUCUGUUUUUAUACUAAUACGAACAAAAAACCCAUGUAUCUUCUCCACUGCAUUUGUCAGUUCUCUUUCCAUUUUCCAUCAUGCCAUGAACUUGGAUAGUCCCUUCAACAGCUUUGAAUCAUUUUGAGGUGGUUUCUGUAGUCCCAACACUGCUGAGCAAAAUGUUUUCCUGAAAUAAAAGAACUAUGCAAUCAGUUGUAUCAGCUGAAGAGUGCUCUAGACUUUGUUUUUCUCAAAUACCUUAUGCCGCAUGGCAAACUUCUUUUGAAAAUGAGAGGAGUUUCAAAAGCCAUGGCAUUGGGGUCAGCUAUUCAAACAAGGAUGGAAGUCCUUUGCAUGAAUCUUAAGCAGCUCUUUAGAUUCCAGCCAUUGUACAUAGUGACAAAAUGAGAUUUGCAAAGGCAUGUAUAACAUCACAUUCCUACACAUAUAAAACUCGAAAUGCACAAGUACAAGAUGGGGAAUAAUAAGCGAGAAAGCAACACUUCCAGAAUGAUUUUAGAAUUCUAGCAGAUAAAAAACUGAACACGAGUUAGUGAUAUAGUGCUGUGGGGAAAUGGCCAUUGCCAUUUAGAUUGUAUCUAUGGACAGGUGACUGCGGAAGUAAUAGUACAGAUCUACUGAAAACUGGAAAGGGCUAAUUUGGGCUACUGUGGUGUGUGUCUCCUGCUUUCAGUUCUGAUUCAAUUUGUCUCCCAGGCAGUAAACAUGGAAGUAAUAGAUUUGAACAAGGGCUGGUCUUCACAUGGACAUUCAUCACUCGAUUGUAACAUCAAAUGCUGAAUUCCUUUGUGUAAAUCAACCAUCGUGCAUCAUCACAAAUAGAGUUGUCAACCUCUGUGGUGACAGUUCACAUGCUCAGUUCAGAGUCUUCACAUUAUUUAUUGCUCUAUCACAGGAAUGUCCAAUGUCUAUUCUAGGGGUCUAAUCCGGCCCCUGUGGCAGUUUAUUUAUCAGGGUCAAAUCCUAAAAAAAGCUCAACAAGUUUGGUCAUGCAUGUUUACUUCUUCAAAUCUGGUCCUCUUUGGAAAAAAUUGGGCACCCCUGCUCUAUCACAUCUGUAGGCCACCCAAGAUAUUUGAGACAGCAUAUAAAGAGUUAUUGUGCAUAUUAUCCUCAGAGCAAUCCUGCAAGGUAGGUUAGACCAAAAGAAAGUAAUUUUUCAGAGAACUUCACAGGCAAGCAAAGUUUUGAACCCUGUUCAUCCCAGAUUGCAAGAGAAACCCUGCAAAUGCUUUUGGGCAAUUUGAAAGUUUUGAAUAUAUAGAGCUAAGCCAAUUCAGAGUAUAACAUAAAUACAAAUUGAUGUGUGUGCAUUAAGUAUGUUUCAUGCUUACUAUCUGAUUUAUGCAGUGGCAUUAUUCUACUGUAGCAUGGCACAUAUUCUUGGAACAAACCCUCAUUAGUCCUCUGUGUGAAAGCAGAAUAUCAGUUCAUGUUAAUUCUCAAAUAAGCAUAAGUAUUUGUUACUGCCUUUGUUUUCUUGUCAGUACCACAAUAAGAUAUAAAUCACACGAGCUAACUAAGGUUUCUGCAAAGGUGGAUAUUUUUUAUUGCAUUUUUACUUAUAUCACUGUGAGAGAAGAACUACCUGCAUUUUUUGUAGUUUUGUUUCAUAUUAUAGAUAACAGUCAUUUCUAAGUUGUUUUCAAAUUGUUCUCAUCAGACCAUAUGAUCUGACUUUUACCCCCCUCUUCCAGCAUUAACUACUAGUGUUCAAGAAUUUCUUAAUUUGGACCCUUUGGGUUGAUGUAUGUACAGUACUGGGCAAAGAUGCCUAUUUGUAGAGGAAGGGGAUAGCAAGCAAAAAGAGGGGGCAUGCAGUAAAGCUAAGCAGCUAUUUCCAAAAUGUAAAGCAUUUUACUUUACUUUUUUUUUUUAAUGCCCUGCACGAUGGGACAAAAUACACAGUCCUUUGCCAUAUUGUCUUUGCAAAGCCUGUCUGUUUGGUCAUGCGCAGAAAGCAGCUAGGCAGUGAGAGUGGGAUGUAUUGACAAGAACAAGAUGAAUGACCCCCUGGAGACUGCGGGUUUGUAUGCUAGUUUCCACCACCUUUUCAUCCCUUUGUAACCCAUUUUGGUUCACAUGCAGAUUAAUUUUGACCAAGUCCUUACCAAAUGCUCUCUUCUUUUCCAGCCACUUAGCUUUGGAAGGUAGACUGGAGAAUCUAAAUAUUUAUGAGGUCUUCUCUCUCUCUCUCUCUCUCUCUCUCUCUCUCUCUCUCUCUCUCUCUCUCUCUGGUUUAUGAUGCACCGUUGUUGAAUGUAGAGGAAUUACGUUAAUGAAUGCAUGCCUGCACACACAGACACAGAAACCAGGCAAAGGGGGAAAACACACACAAAGCUUUGUCAGCUCUAAUGUCGGCUCUUACCAAACAGUUCCCAUGGAAAAAGAGAGAGAGAGGCAAACAGAUUCAAAAUCUUGCCAGGAGAAAAGGUUGUACAAAAGAUGAACAAAGUUGCUUCUUUGCUUUCCUUGGCUAUAAAAGUGCCUUGUUUCAUAUUGGGGCGGAGGGUGGGGGGAAGCCAAAAUGAAACACAUUCAUAUACAAAUUAAAAGUUUGUUUAAAAUGCUGUAACUGAUUUGAGCUGCUCAGUAGCACAGAGAGAAGUCCUAUAUUGUGCUUGGAUCAAUGCAACCCCGAAACAAAAAGUUAACAAAUGGCACAGAUCUUGUUUGCUUAUCUUCUUGCAUACUUUCUUUGUCUCUGAGGAUUUUGUAUACAAACAGAUAUCAACUGGACAGGAUUGUAUGACAUAUGGUGAAUGCUGAUGUUCUUUCUUCCCUUGUGCAAUGUUUGUGAAACUGGUCCAUGCUUGACUAAGACUGUCAUUCUGUAUAUACUUAGGAACAAGCCUCAUGGAACUCAAUGGGUCUUACUUCUGAGUAGACAUGCAUAGGAUUGGGCUAGAAGCUCAUGCUCUGGACACCUCCUGCCUUGACUACUGCAAGCCUCCUUUCUCAGACUUUCCCUUGUCGUGCAUCAAACCUCUCCCUGCCUCAGAACUCCACUGCCAAAAAUGAUAAACCUUUCUAGUCACUCAAACUAUAGAGCACUAUAUUUAACUAUAUUUAAGUUCAAAUACUUAAAUUGGCUUCCCAUAUAACUUAUGUCCACAACAAACACCUUCACCUGCAGUCCUGUCAGGCUCCCUGUGUGUAUUGUCAGGUAGAUGGGGAAGAACUUGCAGUUACUAGUCCUGUGUACACAGUUUCUCACCUGAAUCAAAUGGCUGGAGCUACUUAGUGGGAAACUACCCCCCCCCCCCCCCCCCAAAAAAAAUAGAAGGUAUUUUCUAAUUUGACAGCAUAACAUGUUUAAAUGAGGUCUUCUAUCUUUGUAUUUUAAUUUAAACAUUUAAUAUGGGUUCAAAACCAUAUUUUACAAUGAAAUCUGCAGAAUUUUACACACAGAUGAAUGCAUUUUAUUAAAAUACUGGAACUGAAAUAUAGACUGCUUUACUUUAUGGCAAAAGACUAAUAUUUUAAAUCUUUAAUUGUCACUGUCCUCCCUGCCUCCACCCUUUUUAUUCUCUGGCCUUCACAAACUUAAGCAGAAGGUGGUACAAAUUUUCUCUGUUUCCUUUCACAACAGAGCAGUAGGACAUGGAAUUUUAAAACAUGCUGUCUGUGUUAGCAUUUUAAAAAUGGUUAGGCAAUGGCAGAAUGUUUGCUUGUUCUUUGAAUACAAUAGGAUUUUUACUAUCUAACUCCUAUUUAUAUUUAUGUCUGUUGGGAUUUCAAAAGCAGUUACCC